AAAUUAGCUCUUAGUCGACAUAGAGCUUCACGUCAGGACAUAAGAAGAGUGGGGUCUCUUCAGACACACUAAACUGUUUCUUUACCUCGUCCAGGACGUUAAAUAGGCAGAUUCGGAUUGAUAUUAACCGGAUCUGGCUGUCUCUACCUCUCUUCUUAUUGGUCAUUCUCUCUCUCUCUCUCUCUCUCUCUCUCUCUCAGACUUGCAUUGAGGACAGCACAGUUCUCACAGACCGCUAGAGCUCGGACAGUCUCAGUAGAAACAGAAGACCGAACCGCAAGAAGGAGCGCUUUUGUGAUGCUUUAUUCCAGGAACAGAUGGACAUUGAAGUGGACAUUUCUUUUGACACGUUUUUGAAGUCUUUGCUGACUUUAACACAAAGUCAUCUGUGAACGGAUACCCGUAACUUGGGACCAUAACAAAAGGGUGAAGAUGAGGUCCAGGAGCAGCGAUACGGAGGGGCCAGAGAACAGACCACUGAAGCCACUCGCUAAAAUACUCAACACUGAGAAAGAGGGAAGCAAACAAGAGCUGAUGAGGAAGAACACCAGAGCUCGGGAGGAAAAAGAGAGCGGUGAGGACAAGGCUGUUUCUGGGACUUUGAAAAAGCCUUGUGAGAUGCAGCAGAGGAGAGCCAGACUGAUGGACCUCUCCAAAGAAGAUCUCAUCCGUCUGCUGGGAGUCAUGGAGGGAGAAGUUCAGGCUCGUGAAGACAUUAUCCACAUGCUGCAGUCUGAGAGAACACGACCCGAGGUUCUGGAGGCUCAUUACGGAUCUGCGGUUCCGGUCAAACCUCUUCAAGCUCUGCAGAGAGACAGUCUGAUGACCAGCGGAGACUUGAUCAGGGAUGAUGUCUAUGAGAUCCCGAUGAUAGAGCUGGACCGUUUGGAGGAGAAGCACCAGGAGACGUACAGACGGAUGUUAGAGCAGCUGCUCUUAGCUGAGAAAUGCCACCGGCACACCGUCACCGAACUGGACAAUGAAAAGCGCAAACACGUCGACUUCAUGAACAAAAGCGAUGAAUUCACCAACCUGCUGGAGCAGGAGAGAGAGAGACUUAAGACACUGUUGGAGCAAGAGAAGGCAUACCAGGCUCGCAAGGACAAGGAUCACAGCAAACGUCUUGAGAAAGUUCAGGAGGAGCUGGUAAAGUUGAAAUCAUUUGCCCUGAUGCUGGUGGAUGAAAGGCAGCUUCACGUUGAACAGAUUGACCAGCAAAUACAGAAGGUUAAGGAUCUCAGUAAGAAGCUACAUGAAAGAGAGCAGCAGUUGGAGCUCAUCAACAGCAAAGCUAAAGAAGACAGUCAGAGGAUCCAAAGGCUGGAGCUCGACCUAGAACAUAAGACCUCCAGAUUUUCACAGGAACAUGAGGAGAUGACCACCAACCUGGCCAAGCAGGAGUUUGAAAGUCGACAGCUGCGUCUAAAGAUGGCCAGCCUUUCACGCAGGAUUGAGGAGCUGGAGGAGGCCAAUCGUACGCUACAGAAGUCUGAGGAGGACCUUCAGGACCUGCGGGACAAAAUAAGCAGAGGGGAUUGUGGGAACUCAGGCCUCAUGGCUGAGCUGGAGAACCUUCGGAAGAGAGUUCUAGAAAUGGAGGGCAAGGAUGAGGAGAUCACGAAAACAGAAGCGCAGUGCAAGGAGCUAAAGAGGAGGCUCCAAGAUGAGGAAAAUCACAGCUGUGAGUUGAAACUAGAGGUUGAAAAACUGCAAAAGAGGAUGGUGGACCUGGAGAAACUGGAAGGAGCUUUCAAUUUGAGCAAAUCUAUAUGUGCCCAGCUUCACAACAACCUGGAGAAAGAAAGAAACUUGAGAAAGAGCUUGGUAUGUGAGCUGGAAACAGUUAAACACCAUAUCAAAGAACUUGAGUGCUCAGAAUCAAGGCUGGAAAAUGCUGAGACAGGUUUAAAGGAUGACUUGACCAAACUAAAGUCAUUCACGGUGGUCCUAAUAGAUGAGAGGAAGAACAUGGCAGAACGAAUAAAACAGGAAGAGCAGAAAAGUGAGGAGACUAACAAACGGUUUAAAGCUGAACAAUGCAAAGUCAUGGAGGUCACAGAAAAGCUGAUUGAGGAAAGUAAGAAGCUUCUUAAACUAAAGUCCGAAAUGGAGAUGAAAGUGUCCGCUCUUACCAAGGAAAGAGAUGACCUGAAAUCUAAACUUGUAAGUGAAGAAGAGAAACGAAAGGAUCUCAGUAUAAAGCUAUGUCAGAUACAAAGUAAAAUGGAUGAGCAAGAGGAAGCUGAGUGGGAAUCUUCAAGAAACAGAGCUAAUGUAGACAAAGUUGGGUAUCCUGAUGAGGACAACAAGGUGAAGGAGCUUACUAUGGAGAUUGAGAGACUAAGGAACCGACUUAAACAGCUUGAGGUUGUGGAGGGCGAUUUGUUGAAGACAGAGGAUGAGUACGACAUGCUUGAGAAGAAGUUCAGAACCGAGCAAGACAAAGCCAAUGCCCUUUCCCAACUCCUGGAGGAGAUGAAGACGCAGAUCACCAAGAACAAGGCCAUAGAAAAAGGAGAGUUGGUAAGCCAAGAAGCUGAGCUGAGACUACGCUGCAAGAAGGAAGAGGCCAAAACGAGAGAUCUUCAGGUCGAUGUCCAAGCUCUAAAGGAGAAGAUUCAUGAGCUCAUGAACAAGGAGGAUCAAUUAUCUCAGCUUCAGGUGAACUACACAGUUCUCCAGCAGCGGUUCAUGGAAGAGGAGGAUAAAAAGAAAAACAUGAGUCAAGAAGUUCUCCAACUAACUAAAGAGUUAGAAGCCACGAAGCGUUACAGCCGUGCCCUUAGACCCAGCAUGAAUGGAAGGAGGAUUGUGGACGUUCCUCUUGCUUCCACUGCAGUACAGACCGAUGCAGACAUGAACAAACACAUCGAAGACGAGACUCCGGCUGUGUUCAUCCAGAAGUCUGUUCUAGAGGAAAAUCAGAUCAUGAGUAAUCUGAGGCAGAAAGGUCUCAAGAAGCCGACUGUGUUGGACCGUUACCCGCCGGCGGCUGCAGAGUUUGGGACGAGGAAGUCUUGGAACCCUUGGAUGAAGAAGAAAGAAGCGGUUACUAUCUCUCAGGGAGUUCAAUCAACCAAGGAGGUCAAUGGAACAACAUCACGCUCAUCACCAGAACUGAUAAUGUCUCAGAAACCCGGUCAGCCCCUUCAUAUUAAGGUGACUCCAGACCAUCAGAGCAGCACUGCCACUUUGGAGAUCACCAAUCCACGUGCUGAAGACUUUUUCUCCAGUACCACCAUCAUCCCAACUCUUGGGCUGCAGAAACCACGCAUAACAAUCGUUCCGACUUCUAUGCUGCCAAAGUCCAAAACCAAUGAAGGGCCAGCUGAACGGACAAAGUCUCCAGUCACUAUAACGGCCAUCUCCAGAGCUAAAUCUCCAGAGAAGGGUAAGGGCUCUUACUCUGAGCAUCCUGCUUCUCCUCUGUCCAUCAUAACCGUAAGCGCAACUCCAGUCUCCCAGGCGUCCAUCUCCCCAGAGCCCCAUGAGAUGACCACAGGCAGGGCCGUGUUCAAGUUGACCCCUGAAAAGCAGACGGUCCCAACGCCCAUCCGGAAAUACAACUCCAAUAUUAUAACCACAGAGGACAACAAGAUCCACAUCCACCUUGGGUCACCAGGGUUCAAGAAACCUCAGGACGACAGAAGUGGUUCAGUUAUGGUUUGGCCUAAUGGUGUAAGUUCAGACAGCAAAGAGAUGCAAACGGGGACAGUUCUGCGCGCUCCCAGACAGACGUCAGCUAAUGUCGGAAACAUGAUCCAAGGAAAGAUGACCAGCAGCAUCACAAUAACCCCCAUCACCUCGGCCUCAUCCAGACCUACUCAAUCUGUGCACGGAACGGACGUGCAGUCAUCUCGCUCCACGGCAACACGAAUCCCCAUGUCAAAAGAACGUCCAGAAUUAUCUUUUUCAUAUGAGGCCUGGUUCUGUUCGAGCUCCAAAAAAGCUCUCAAAUCACUUUCAAACAUGCUUCCAAUUCAUUUAAACAACAUUAGCAACAGAAGAAUGAAAGUCAGAUGGGUUUGGAAUGACACGAGGGGGAGUGAACAAUGACAAAGUUUUUAUUAUUAGGUGAACUUUAAAGCUUUUGUCUUUCUCACAAUAAGCUGCUGUUUUGUGUGUCACUAUCAAAGGCUUUUCAAAUCAAUUAUUUCCAUUUUCACAGACUGACAGUGUUCAUUUUCUAAUCCAUCCAUGCGCAAUAACAGGCUUUGGCAGCUCACUGGAUUCAACGGCGUGCUGCGAUUCCCAGAAAACAAUCGGAAAAUUGCUCUGAUAUUUUCACCAUCCAUAAACUUGGCUGCUCAAAAGCUUUUAACAUGAAUCGGUGAAACUGAUUCUUUCCAUGCAGUGGUUAAACCGUGGGCUGUAGUGUUUUCUCCUGGAGCAGAAUGUUGUGCUCCAUGUGAAUCGAGAGCCACGCUGAGGCUGUUUCAGAUCCAUACUAUGCCUGACAGAGAGGUCUCUACAUUUGCUUUGCAUCCAAAUGUAACAAUAGAACGAGGUUUGAGUCAGUCAAAGCUGGUUCGAGCACAAGGAUCUGAAGUGUUGCUCCAUAUCUGCAUGCAUACAGCCUAUAUCAUCAAUUCAAGACUACAAGACAGUCUGACGGCAGAUUACUGAACACUGGAUGUUUACCAGACAGUAAAGAAAGAGAUCAAAGUUGCACAGAACGUGGAAAGUUGUGGCAUGUCAGAAGAAGAGAAACAGAAACAGACGUAUUUUGAGAGUAAAACAUGGAAAAGUCUACAUGUGAUCAAAACUGACCCCAUUUACUGCCAUGUUCUGUUUAAGUCAUUUUGACCCAGAGAGGAUUUGAUUUUUCCCAAAAAAUGCUUUUAAAUGUUACAGCAUUAAGACUACAACCUACUCACACUGGGUAUACAAUAGCAGCUUUCCAAAUAAACUGGAUAACUUUUGCACUUGGAUUCAAUCUUUUCAUCAACAUGUUUUCUUUCAUUUAGAACAGGUUCAUGCACUUCAGCUUCUGAGUGAACAUUGCAUAAAUUAUCCACAAAUUAUGCUUUUUUUUCCCUUGAAAACUGAGGUGCUUAAGCUCAAAUCAAUGAGACAUGAUCAAUUCAGUUUCUAAAAGAAAUACAAAAAUACUGUGCACAUUGAAAGCAAGCAAGUUGUCAAAAAGACUGAAUCCAAAGAUCGUUUAAAAGUAUAUUACAAUAAGAGAUUUACAAGCAAGGAGCACCAAAUCUCGUUAAAUAUUCUGUUUCACCCGGAAAUGUAUUGCAUUAUGCAUAAAUUGGACUAUGUAAGGAAGUUCAUGUUGACUUGAGAUAUGCAGUGGUCUAAUGUUAAAUCAUAUGUUGUUUGUUUUGAAAAUGACUGGUUAAAGUGUCAUAUACUGCUGGGAACAGUUUAUUGAUCAUUUAUCAAUCUCUGCUAGUAUUUAAUGGUGGUAUUGAUGUGUUAAAAGAAUGAGAAAGAAUGCGAGAGGGUCAGUUGGGGGAAAGGUGCAUGAUACUGUAUGUUUAGUUAAGUCUGAGUAUUGCCCACACAGAACUGUAUUUCAUUUCACUUAUAGCAUAUGACUUCUGUGAAUGCAGUACGAGCUCACUGGACUGAAGUGUGUGUCUGCCUCUAUAUGAAACGAGAAAUCACCCAAUAAACACAUUUCUGAAGCACGUGA